rnacentral:rRNA from 1 species
CCUACGGGUGGCAGCAGUGAGGAAUAUUGGUCAAUGGACGGAAGUCUGAACCAGCCAUGCCGCGUGCAGGAUGACGGUUCUAUGAGUUGUAAACUGCUUUUGUACAAGGGUAAACCUGAAUACGUGUACUCAGCUGAAUGUACUGUACGAAUAAGGAUCGGCUAACUCCGUGCCAGCAGCCGCGGUAAUACGGAGGAUCCAAGCGUUAUCCGGAUUUAUUGGGUUUAAAGGGUGCGUAGGCGGAAUGUUAAGUUAGAGGUGAAAUGUCCGAGCUUAACUCGGGAACUGCCUUUAAUACUGUUGAUCUGGAGAGUGGAUGAGGAAGGCGGAAUGUAUGGUGUAGCGGUGAAAUGCUUAGAGAUCAUACAGAACACCGAUUGCGAAGGCAACUUACCAAUCUAUAACUGACGUUGAGGCACGAAAGCGUGGGGAGCAAACAGGAUUAGAUACCCGAGUAGUC